GAUGAACGCUGGCUACAGGCUUAACACAUGCAAGUCGAGGGGAAACGGCAUUGAGUGCUUGCCCUGAAUGGACGUCGACCGGCGCACGGGUGAGUAACGCGUAUCCCACCUUCCCGUUACUGCGGGAUAACCUGCCGAAAGGCAGACUAAUACCGCAUGUUCUUCGAUGACGGCAUCAGAUUCGAAGCAAAUAUCCGUCGGUAACGGCGGGUGAUGCGUCAGAUUAGCUAGUUGGCGGGGCGACGGCCCACCAAGGCGACGAUCAGUAGGGGUUCUGAGAGGAAGGUCCACCAGAUCUGAGAUGCGGCCCAGUCCAAAAUCGUACGGAGGGCAGGAGUAAGGAAUACUAGUCAAUGAGGGGAAGCCGGGACCAGCCAAGUGGCGUGCAGGAGGACGGCGGUACGGGUUGUAAACUGCUUGGAAGCGGGGAUAAAGUGAGGGACGCGUCCCUUUUUGAAGGUACCGAAUGAAUAAGGACCGGCUAAUUCCGUG
rnacentral:rRNA from 1 species